GCAGGCUGCAACUCGCCUGCAUGAAGUCGGAAUUGCUAGUAAUCGCGGAUCAGCAUGCCGCGGUGAAUACGUUCCCGGGCCUUGUACACACCGCCCGUCACACCAUGAGAGCCGGGAACACCCGAAGUCCGUAGUCUAACCGCAAGGAGGACGCGGCCGAAGGUGGGUUUGGUAAUUGGGGUGAAGUCGUAACAAGGUACC
rnacentral:rRNA from 1 species